ACGAAGUAGCAAUACUUAGUGGCGAACGGGUGAGUAUAAUGUGGGUAUCUGCCUUUUGGUGAGGAAUAACAUGAGGAAACUUAUGCUAAUACCUCAUAAGCCUUUACAGGGAAAGUUUUAACGCCAAAAGAUGAGCUCGCACUUGAUUAGCUAGUUGGUAGGGUAAUGGCUUACCAAGGCUACGAUCAAUAGUUGAUCUGAGAGGAUGAUCAGCCACAUUGGGACUGAGACACGGCCCAAACUCCUACGGGAGGCAGCAGUAGGGAAUCUUGCACAAUGGGGGAAACCCUGAUGCAGCGAUGCCGCGUGAGUGAAGAAGGCCUUUGGGUUGUAAAGCUCUUUCGUCGGGGAAGAAAAUGACUGUACCCGAAUAAGAAGGUCCGGCUAACUUUGUGCCAGCAGCCGCGGUAAUACGAAGGGACCUAGCGUAGUUCGGAAUUACUGGGCUUAAAGAGCUCGUAGGUGGUUAGAAAAGUUGGUGGUGAAAUCCCAAGGCUUAACCUUGGAACUGCCAUCAAAACUUUUUGACUAGAGUAUGAUAGAGGAAAGUGGAAUUUCUAGUGUAGAGGUGAAAUUCGUAGAUAUUAGAAAGAACACCGAUUGCGAAGGCAGCUUUCUGGAUCAUUACUGACACUGAGGAGCGAAAGCAUGGGUAGCGAAGAGGAUUAGAUACUCUCGUAGUCCAUGCCGUAAACGAUGUGUGCUAGACGUUGGAAAUUUAUUUUUCAGUGUCGCAGCAAAAGCGUUAAGCACACCGCCUGGGGAGUACGACCGCAAGGUUAAAACUCAAAUGA
rnacentral:rRNA from 1 species